GGGAGGUGUUAUCAUACAAACAACGCUUGUCUCACUGCUGUAACAAUGAGCACAAGGUGCAAUGCUGGGACAGAUGGAUAGUGAGAAAUCAGGAGGGAAAAGCAGAGAUCAUAAGCUGGAAUUGAGAAAAGGCUAGACAAAAAGCAAAGAUAUAUACAAAAUAAGGAGGUCCCAUGGCUAUUUACUUAGGAUUCCAGCCUAUGCCCAGACCCCAGAAACCAGGAAACGUAUUGAGGUGCCUCCAGCCACCAAUCCAGACAGAAACAGAUCUUCCAUAGCUUCUACAUCAUAUCUUUCUGUCCCAGAAAGAUCUUAAGGUAGUGAAGAUCACUGUGUCUUUUUAUUGGUCAUGAAAUACAAACUGUGGUGGAGGGCAGGAGUGGAUUUUUUGGUUUGGAUUUUCACAGGGAGUGAGCAUUGUGAAGGAAGGUGAAAUAGCAUCAUUCAGAUGCUGUUCAAGAACACCACUUAAGAAAGGCAGGAACAAAUGAGGCACAUGUGUCCUCAGACAAGUUUUGCAUACUGGGUAAGGGAUUUCAAUACUGCCUUUGUGGCUGUCCUCACAAGCCCAUGGAAAAGUGAGAAAGCCUGAAAAAUGGGAAAUUAACAGCCAGCCACCUCUCACCUAGUCCCAGCCUUUAUCUUAGCCCCAUUUCAUGAUAGCAGAAAGAAUAAAAAUACCCUCAAGCCAGAAGAGAACCGUUCCUCACUUUCUACCAUGAGCCAUGUAGGGACAAACAAUGGGCAUAAAGUUGAGAACUGCACAGAUUGAUAGAAGAACGAAGGAUAAAUAAACCCCUUUUCUCCUUUCAAUUCAUUACACUGUUGUUCCCUUUGUGGAAAGGGAGUUAACUGGCACCAAGCUGUUUAUCUUCUUCAAACACAGAUGAACUAUAACCAGUGUCAUUCAUCACUCAGUCCAGGGGUGCUGCACCAGUGAAAAGAUUGGCCUAGUAAGGAUUGGCCUAGUAAGGGCUGUCCAGUCUAGUUUCUUAUAAGGCAAGACAUUUAAAUGCUACUGCUUAAAAAUGCUUGAUUUGCUGAGGUUUGCAACAACAGUCCAUCAUGAACAACAUCUACUCAGAAACCCCAGAAAGCAAGGCUGUCUUUUACCAAUAGCUGACCUUAUGAAGCAAGAUUCCUAACAUGAGUCCUUUGAGCCAAAACCUCACAGACAAAGGGCUUUCCUGAUGAUCUUCAAUCUACAUUUGGAGUUGCCAGUCUAUGCCUUGCAAACUUCCACAUUUUCUUCACAAAUCAUGCAAAACUCUUAAGGUUUAAUGGUCUCUCACACUGUCUUUCCUCAGGUGAUUCUACCCUUCAGGAAGAUUUAUGCAUACCUGUCAAAAGCUGCUAGAUUUCUAUCUCUCUUUCUUUCUACCUCUCUCUCUUCUCUUUCUACCCCUGAAGUUUCAGAGCUGGUUGUCACUCUUUAACAGUUUAUUUUCCAUAAAUACACAGUGAGCAUCUCACCCUUUCCUCAACACUGGAGCACAUUCUGCUUUCAUAUGCAAAUCCUCUCAGUCAACAAUGUAGCAGGAAUAUGUUUAAACAAGAAUAGAGAUAGCUAAUCAAUGUACUUCCCUAAGAUUACUUAUUCCUGGGUUGCUGAGUCUGCCUUUGCUUGGUCCUUGCUCGUGUACAACUCCUGCGAAUGUCUAGGGAAGUUUAGUUUGUGAAACAACUGAGAGAGAUGUGAGUGAGAGUAUUAACAUAGGAUUUUAUAUUAGUCUAUUAUUAUAUCAGAGAUAACACUGGAGUGGACUCCUGAGGAUAUAAAUACACUGCAGGCUUCUUACUGACAUCCUUCUAUUACCAUUGUGUAUUUUUCCCAAAUCAGGUGCAUUUUAUGACUUGGUCUGUAAAUCUGGGCAGCCCCACAGCAUUAUAUAGUGUCAUGGGUUAGCAAGCGUAGUCCCGGAAGUGAUGGUCUUGCAAAGGGGCGCUUACAGCUCCUCUAUGA